AACGAACGCUGGCGGCAGGCCUAACACAUGCAAGUCGAACGCCCUAGCAAUAGGGAGUGGCGCACGGGUGCGUAACGCGUGGGAAUAUGCGCUUGACUGCGGGACAACGUCGGGAAACUGACGCUUAUACCGCAUAAUGUCUUCGGACCAAAGAUUUAUCGGUCAAGGAUUAGCCCGCGUCUGAUUAGCUAGUUGGUGAGGUAACGGCCCACCAAGGCGACGAUCAGUAGGGGGUCUGAGAGGAUGAUCCCCCACACUGGGACUGAGACACGGCCCAGACUCCUACGGGAGGCAGCAGUGAGGAAUAUUGGACAAUGGAGGCAACUCUGAUCCAGCCAUGCCGCGUGAGUGACGAAGGCCUUCGGGUUGUAAAGCUCUUUCAGAUGCGAAGAUAAUGACGGUAACAUCAGAAGAAGCCCCGGCUAAAUUCGUGCCAGCCGCCGCCGUAAUAC
rnacentral:rRNA from 1 species